UCGUUCUCGCGAUAUUUCACGACGCGAGUAAACAGCCACCAUUCGUAGAGACUUUUGGGGGGAGAGAGGAAAAAUCGAGAAAAGUGUCAGGGAUUUUUUUUAAAGACGUUUCCUAGAAAAGAAGUAUCAUCUCUCAUUCUACAAGAAGGGCAAAUAUAAACCGCAAAUACCCCACUCUGUUCUUUUGCCCCGCUGUUUACAGUAACAUGUUCGCAGCCACCUGUCCGAACUGCGCGUAGUGUGGCUUGUGGGAGCCGUUAGCAUUAGCAUUAGAAUUGCUAGGCCUGUUGUGUGUUAUUAGCUUAGCACUUUUUUUCCCCCACCUUCAGCACAUAUAUUUUUUGUUAAUUUUUGCUUUAUUUCUUAUUUUCUUCUGGAGAAAUGAUUAUUGAAAACCUCGAUGCCUUGAAGACGUGGCUCACCAAAACUCUCGAACCAAUAUGUGACGCCGAUCCGUCUGCGCUCGCUAAAUAUGUGGUGGCUUUGGUGAAGAAGGACAAGUCGGAGAAGGAGCUGAGAGCACUAUGCAUAGACCAGUUGGAUGUAUUUCUCCAGAAGGAGACUCAGACAUUUGUGGAUAAACUUUUGAAGCUGUGAACACAAAGAGCUACCUA